rnacentral:sRNA from 1 species
AUUCUACCCAUGUGGGGAAGGAUGAGAAGCUUCGACUAAGGUUCGAUUCGAGCGAAAGCGAGAAAGCGUUGCCGUAGGCAACGACCCGAAGGGCGAAGCGCGCAGCGCUGAGUAAUCCUUCCCCCGUCAUCC